rnacentral:lncRNA from 1 species
AACAUAUGGACCCUCGUAGUUUGGAGUCCACUUGCCCCUGGAAUCGGGCGCGAAAGACAAAACUUUCUUGAGCACAAGGUCACCUUCUCGGAACAUACGAGGCUUGACCUUCUUAUCGAAUGCUUUCUUCAUUCUCUGCUGAUAUAACUGACCAUGACACAUGGCAGUUAAUCGCUUCUCUUCAAUCAAAUUCAACUGGUCAUAACGACUUUGAAUCCGUUCAGCAUCAGUCAACUAGGGAC